AGAACGAACGCUGGCGGCGUGGAUAAGACAUGCAAGUCGAACGGAGUAGUUCGAAUAGCAAUAUUUGGAUUACUUAGUGGCGGACGGGUGAGUAACACGUGGGCAACCUGCCCGGAAGAGGGGGAUAGCUCGCCGAAAGGCGAAUUAAUACCGCAUGUGGCCUGGAAAGACAUC
rnacentral:rRNA from 1 species